AUUGAACGCUGGCGGCAUGCUUUACACAUGCAAGUCGAACGGCAGCACGGGUGCUUGCACCUGGUGGCGAGUGGCGAACGGGUGAGUAAUACAUCGGAACGUACCUUAUCGUGGGGGAUAACGCAGCGAAAGUUGCGCUAAUACCGCAUACGCCCUGAGGGGGAAAGCGGGGGACCGUAAGGCCUCGCGCGAUUAGAGCGGCCGAUGUCUGAUUAGCUUGUUGGUGAGGUAAAAGCUCACCAAGGCGAUGAUCAGUAGCUGGUCUGAGAGGACGAUCAGCCACACUGGGACUGAGACACGGCCCAGACUCCUACGGGAGGCAGCAGUGGGGAAUUUUGGACAAUGGGGGCAACCCUGAUCCAGCAAUGCCGCGUGAGUGAAGAAGGCCUUCGGGUUGUAAAGCUCUUUUGUCAGGGAAGAAACAGCAGCUCUAACACAGACUGCGAAUGACGGUACCUGAAGAAUAAGCACCGGCUAACUACGUGCCAGCAGCCGCGGUAAUACGUAGGGUGCGAGCGUUAAUCGGAAUUACUGGGCGUAAAGCGUGCGCAGGCGGUUAUACAAGACAGGCGUGAAAUCCCCGGGCUUAACCUGGGAAUGGCGUCUGUGACUGUAUAGCUAGAGUGUGUCAGAGGGGGGUGGAAUUCCACGUGUAGCAGUGAAAUGCGUAGAUAUGUGGAGGAACACCAAUGGCGAAGGCAGCCCCCUGGGAUAACAC
rnacentral:rRNA from 1 species